UACGGGGGGAGCAAGCGUUGUCCGGAUUUAUUGGGCGUAAAGAGCGUGUAGGCGGCUUUACAGGUCCGUUGUGAAAACUCGAGGCUCAACCUCGAGACGCCGGUGGAAACCGUAAAGCUAGAGUCCGGAAGAGGAGAGUGGAAUUCCUGGUGUAGCGGUGAAAUGCGCAGAUAUCAGGAGGAACACCGGUGGCGAAGGCGGGUCUCUGGGCCGAUACUGACGCUGAGGAGCGAAAGCGUGGGGAGCAAACAGG
rnacentral:rRNA from 1 species